rnacentral:misc_RNA from 1 species
UACAAUGAACAUGAAACUUGAUUGAAAGUUACCGCUUGGAUACAAACAUGACACAAGUUAAAGAGGUGAAGAAUUUAGGAGAAAAAUAAACACAACUGGUGUAUGCUAAGUAACACUGUUCCAGGUCCUGAAUUUCAACAAUUUCUACCACUUGUACAAACCGAUGAAUAAAAUUUAAUGAUCUGCGAAUCAAGCCAAGUUGAUGCCACCUGAUUGUGACCGUGACUCAUAGAAGAGUCUUACAGUUGAGUAGAUGAGAGAAGGUUCAGCCAUAGCGCCAUUUCCAUAAUCUCCACAUGCUAGUCUUUUUGAAACUGGUGGUAUGAGAGAGAUUCCAAGCUCAUCAAUUACCAUAAGGUGUCGUUCUGUGAAUGGAUUAUUCCACAUCAAUGUAUUCAUGGCUGGUGCCACAAAAAGGGGUUUAUUGUAGUCCCAUGCUCGUACGAUGCAGGUUAACAAGUUAUCACAUAGUCCACCUGCAAUCUUCCCAAGUGUGUUUGCUGACAAAGGGGCAAUAACCAUAAUAUCAGCCCAUCUGCGGAGCUCAAUGUGUAGCACACUAUCACCAAUCUUCUUCCAAGUGGACCAUUCCUCCUCAUCAGUAUAAAGAAUGACAUCUUCCGGAAGCGAAGCUUUGUCUAUGAAAUGAAGAGAAGGUUUCGUUGCAACUGCUUUAACUUCUGCCCAUUCAGAAAAACAACGACAUAGAUUAGCAAACUUAAUUGAAGCCACACUUCCACUUGCUGCCAGCAGAAUACGAGGUCUCCUAGGUGCACCAUUAAUCUGAACUGGUUCCAUCUCUGAAGUCAUAGGAUCCGUAUCUACCUAACCUAACGGAGCAAAGGCUUUAAAAAAUUUAUAACCAGAAGUUGAAACACAGAGUGGUUAGCUCACUUGAUUGAGAUUUGCUCCGGCAUAGUCCGGCAACGGCUUAGAAACGCCGACGGUGAUCAAAGUCCGGCGCCGAUCAAUUGUAGUCUUUCAAAGGGCG